UGCAGUCGAGCGGCAGCACGGGGAGCUUGCUCCCUGGUGGCGAGCGGCGGACGGGUGAGUAAUGCAUAGGAAUCUGCCCGGUAGUGGGGGAUAACGUGGGGAAACCCACGCUAAUACCGCAUACGUCCUACGGGAGAAAGCGGAGGAUCUUCGGACUUCGCGCUAUCGGAUGAGCCUAUGUCGGAUUAGCUAGUUGGUAAGGUAACGGCUUACCAAGGCAACGAUCCGUAGCUGGUCUGAGAGGAUGAUCAGCCACACUGGGACUGAGACACGGCCCAGACUCCUACGGGAGGCAGCAGUGGGGAAUAUUGGACAAUGGGCGAAAGCCUGAUCCAGCCAUGCCGCGUGUGUGAAGAAGGCUUUCGGGUUGUAAAGCACUUUCAGCGAGGAAGAAAGCCUCUGGGUUAAUACCCCAGAGGAAGGACAUCACUCGCAGAAGAAGCACCGGCUAACUCCGUGCCAGCAGCCGCGGUAAUACGGAGGGUGCGAGCGUUAAUCGGAAUUACUGGGCGUAAAGCGCGCGUAGGUGGCUUGGCACGCCGGUUGUGAAAGCCCCGGGCUCAACCUGGGAACUGCAUCCGGAACGGCCAGGCUAGAGUGCAGGAGAGGAAGGUAGAAUUCCCGGUGUAGCGGUGAAAUGCGUAGAGAUCGGGAGGAAUACCAGUGGCGAAGGCGGCCUUCUGGCCUGACACUGACACUGAGGUGCGAAAGCGUGGGUAGCAAACAGGAUUAGAUACCCUGGUAGUCCACGCCGUAAACGAUGUCGACUAGCCGUUGGGACCUUUAAGGACUUAGUGGCGCAGUUAACGCGAUAAGUCGACCGCCUGGGGAGUACGGCCGCAAGGUUAAAACUCAAAUGAAUUGACGGGGGCCCGCACAAGCGGUGGAGCAUGUGGUUUAAUUCGAUGCAACGCGAAGAACCUUAC
rnacentral:rRNA from 1 species